UAUACAAAAUCCUCAAACAAAUUUUACCCUAAGACGCAAAACACUGUCCACUUCUCCACUCUGUUCGCAUCUUCUUCUCCAUUUUUUCCUUGAAAUCUAGACUUCUCCAGUUGCCACUGCAACACCUCUCCACUGAUUAGAUCUCUCUCUCUCACUUACCACCCACACGAGCACCUAAAGACUCCAAACCCAAACACCCUAUCACGUAAUCACACUCUCCAGUCUCCAGGAACUUUGUUUCCCAGCUAGAAACCCAGCUUCGCCGCGCCAAGACCACGACAACACCAUCUAAACUCAAACCCAUAACAUGCUCUUCGAUUUAGGAAUAAGCUAGUUAUCUUUUGUAAAGCAAAAUCCGACGAAAGUAAACAGGUAGCACACGUUAAGGUAUUUGAGGAUCUUAAAGUUGACUUGAAGACCGAUGCUGAGAAGAGUGUGGGCACCACUGCUACUACAACAAAAAAAAAAAGAAGGAAAAAAUGAUAAAGAGUUGCAAGAUGAAACACAAGCAGGGGAAAGUGAAAAAACAGAAACAGAAAUAUGUGAGGAAGGGCUGGGUAAAGCUUCCAGAUUUAACCAAAAUUUUGCAUUUUCACAAGACUCAACAUCAUGAUACUGCAGCAGAAGCAGAGUUAAGACGCAUAGUGCAACAAUAAGAAAAUAAGAUUAAACAGUUGGAGGAGCAGCUCAUCCUAUUUGAUCAACAAAAACAGUAAAUAAAAAUGCUUCAAGAACAACAUUUUCAAAUGUUGGAGAUGCUGAAGCAGAUCACUAUAGCAGCUACACACGCCCAACUUGCUAGAGCUCCAACUCGACUGCCAUUGCCAUCUCCAACCGAUGAAAAGUCUUCCUCAUUUGCUACAGCUAUUUCAAGAACCUCAAUUAGUGACACUUGAGAUGCUAACGAUAUUGAUGGUUAGUUUUUUGUUGUAUGGGCAGUAGAUAUUUUGACGUGGGGGUAGGACCAUCUUUUUGGACUUUUUAGGAUUGUUUGCAUAUAUAUCCUUAGAUGGUGUACAUGGAGUGAACAUUUUGUUUGUUCAUUAUGCACAGAUAGAUAGCCACUGAUGAAAAUGUGGGGUGCAUGCUUUCUUUUUUGGUUAUGCACACAUGAUAGUGCAUUUUGGAUUUUUAUUGCCCAUCAUGCAUAAAAAUCCAUGUAUGGA